CGGACGGGUGAGUAAUGUCUGGGAAACUGCCCGAUGGAGGGGGAUAACUACUGGAGACGGUAGCUAAUACCGCAUAACGUCGCAAGACCAAAGAGGGGGACCUUAGGGCCUCUUGCCAUCGGAUGUGCCCAGAUGGGAUUAGCUAGUAGGUGGGGUAACGGCUCACCUAGGCGACGAUCCCUAGCUGGUCUGAGAGGAUGACCAGCCACACUGGAACUGAGACACGGUCCAG
rnacentral:rRNA from 1 species